CACUUUUUGUUGAAACUGCGAAGCGCUCAGUAAAUCAGUUAUAGUCUGUUCGAAAGAAAAACAGACGCGGAGGAUAACUGUGGUAAAUCUAGAGCUAAUACAUUGGAGGCCUCUACAAGGGGCUAGUUAUUGGCAGACCAAAAAUAGACCGUCGAAAAGCGGGCUAAAAUGAAUAUAAAUAACUUGAACGACCCCUAGCCAAGCUGGGGGCCUAUCGAGCGAAUUUCUGCCCUAUCAGCUAGUUGGCAGGGUAGCGGCCUGCCAAGGCUUUUACGGGUAACGGGGAGUCAGGGUUCGACGCCGGAGAGGGAGCCUGAGAAACGGCUACCACAUCCAAGGACGGCAGCAGGCGCGCAAAUUACCCAAUCCAGAAAUUGGGAGGUAGUGACGGGAAAUAUUGGGGAGGAUCCAAGAGAUUUUCACCCGAAAUGGACGUAGCCCAAAAAAAUCGGUGAUGAACUACUGGAGGGCAAGUCUGGUGCCAGCAGCCGCGGUAAUUCCAGCUCCAGUAGUGUAUAUCAACAUUGUUGCGCUUAAAACGCUCGUAGUUGAAAUGGAGGGCGCCGCCGGAGCCUCUUGUUUUGAGGUUUUGGUUUGGGAGGGGCCACAGUUGGCUCGAAAUGAGUUUUUCUGGGUUUUGCCCGGCGCCCUAGAAUCAUGGGCCUCGGUUUGAAUCUUGGUUGAUUUGAGCCGGGCGCCGAUGGGGUGUGCCUUGAAUAAACCAUGGUGCUCAAAGCAGGCUAUUUUGCUGGGGUGUUUUAGCAUGGAACGAACUAUUGGACUAGAGCCCACUUUCUCCCUAGUCUGUUUUAAAAAGUGGGGUUGGGAGCGGGCUGGUUAGCGUUGGUGAACCAGGUCUCUACGGUUAAGAGGGACGCCUGGGGGCACUAGUACUCUGUGGCGAGAGGUGAAAUUCUUAGACCCGCAGAAGACUGGCUGAGGCGAAAGCAUUUGCCAAGAGUGUUUUCAUUGAUCAAGAACGAAGGUCAGAGGAUCGAAGACGAUCAGAUACCGUCCUAGUUUUGACAGCAAACGAUGCCGGCCUAGCCGCGGUGUUUUUACUUUUUUGAAGAAGAGAGGCGUCGUGGCUGGAGAGAAAUCUAGCUUUCGGGCUGCGGGGAGAAUAUCGCUGCAAGGCUGAAAUUUAAAGAAAUUGACGGAAAGGCACCACCAGGAGUGGAGCCUGCGGCUUAAUUUGCCCCCCCCCGGUGAAACUUACCGGGUCCAGACAUUGGUAGGAUUGACAGAGUGGUGGAUCUUUCAUGAUUCAGUGAAUGGUGGGGCAUGGCCGUUCUUAGUUGGUGGAAUGAUCUGUCAAGUUUAUUCCGGUAACGAGCGAGAUAUCGGCCUCGAUUUGUCUGUUUUCGAAACAGAAUGCGGGAUUUUAGCCUACUGAAUUUUUUUAGGGGGCUAAAUUUUAGCCUACUGAAUUUAUUUAGGGGGCUAAAUUUUAGCCUACUGAAUUUAUUUGUGAGGCUAAAAAACUGCCUACAUUUUGCGUUUUUGGAAAUUUCGAGGGACUACCGGUUGAAAACCGGGGAAAGCGCGGCAAUAACAGGUCUGUGAUGCCCUUCGAUGUCCUGGGCUGCCCGCGGGCUACAAUAACCCCAAAAGAGAGUUGCUAGCCUGAGGAGGCCGGUCCAACUGCAAAAAGGCGCUGUGCCGGGGAUUGAGCCUUGGAAUUGUGGCUCAUGAAAGAGGAAUUCCUCGUAAGAGGCGU
rnacentral:rRNA from 1 species